AGGAUCUUGCGCAUUAUUUCCGUGUCAAAAUGGCGGCCAGUGUCUCCCCACAAAUAGUGGUGGUUAUGUUUGCCAGUGUGCGAGUGGAUUUACCGGCACUAACUGCGAGACCCCAGGAUCAUGUGCAUUAUUUCCGUGUCAAAAUGGUGGCCAGUGUCUCCCCACAACUAGUGGUUAUGUUUGCCAGUGUGUGAGUGGAUUUACAGGCACUAACUGCGAGAUCUCAGUAACCGCAUGCUCC